rnacentral:rRNA from 1 species
GACGAACGCUGGCGGCGUGCCUAAUACAUGCAAGUUGAGCGCUGAAGGUUGGUACUUGUACCAACUGGAUGAGCAGCGAACGGGUGAGUAACGCGUGGGGAAUCUGCCUUUGAGCGGGGGACAACAUUUGGAAACGAAUGCUAAUACCGCAUAAAAACUUUAAACACAAGUUUUAAGUUUGAAAGAUGCAAUUGCAUCACUCAAAGAUGAUCCCGCGUUGUAUUAGCUAGUUGGUGAGGUAAAGGCUCACCAAGGCGAUGAUACAUAGCCGACCUGAGAGGGUGAUCGGCCACAUUGGGACUGAGACACGGCCCAAACUCCUACGGGAGGCAGCAGUAGGGAAUCUUCGGCAAUGGACGAAAGGCUGACCGAGCAACGCCGCGGGAGUGAAGAAGGGUGUCGGAUCGUAAAACUCUGUUGGUAGAGAAGAACGUUGGUGAGAGUGGAAAGCUCAUCAAGUGACGGUAACUACCCAGAAAGGGACGGCUAACUACGUG